UUCUUGUAACUGAUAAUCAAAAGCACAUCAAGGUUGUCUCUGAUGAAGCUAUUACAAAUGCUACUGGCUUGAUUGGCUCUAGUGAGAAAGACCUGAUUCUGACAAGAUCAGCCCGGAGGUCACCGAAUGUCUGACACAUGAACAGGCAAUCGACACAAGAGAUGCAUUGGCAAUGUUUAUUUAUGUGAGCAUGUUCGACUGGCUUGUGGAGAAGAUAAACUUGUCACUUCCUAGGGGAAAGGUGAUAUGGGGUGUUCAGUAAGGAUCAUUGAUAUGGAUUUGAGUAACUUAAGGUAUACAAUGAUUGAUAUUUUCCACAAUGUAUACUAUGGUGUGUUUUGUCCCACUUUAAAUAAUC